rnacentral:rRNA from 1 species
ACUCCUACGGGAGGCAGCAGUGGGGAAUUUUCCGCAAUGGGCGCAAGCCUGACGGAGCAAGACCGCGUGAGGGAGGAAGGCUCUUGGGUUGUAAACCUCUUUUAUCAGGGAAGAAGAUCUGACGGUACCUGAUGAAUCAGCAUCGGCUAACUCCGUGCCAGCAGCCGCGGUAAUACGGAGGAUGCAGGCGUUAUCCGGAUUUAUUGGGCGUAAAGCGUCCGCAGGUGGUUUUUCAAGUCUGCUGUUAAAGCGCAGAGCUUAACUCUGUAACGGCGGUGGAAACUGAGAGACUAGAGUAUGGUAGGGGUUGCGGGAAUUCCCAGUGUAGCGGUGAAAUGCGUAGAUAUUGGGAAGAACACCAGCGGCGAAAGCGCGCAACUGGGCCAUUACUGACACUCAUGGACGAAAGCUAGGGGAGCGAAAGGGAUUAGAUACCCCUGUAGUCCUAGCUGUAAACGAUGGGUACUAGGUGUUGACCGUAUCGACCCGGUCAGUGCCGUAGCUAACGCGUUAAGUACCCCGCCUGGGGAGUAUGCACGCAAGUGUGAAACUC